UCCCUGGUGGCUCAGUUGGUAAAGCAUCUGUCCACGGUGCAGGAAACCUAGGUUUGACCCCUGGCUUGGGAA
rfam:Ovis aries breed Texel chromosome 11, whole genome shotgun sequence.